GUGGGACUGAGCCCAUUCGGGGGGACUCCGGGGUUCUGGUGUAGGUAGAUCCGGGGCAGGCUCAGGACCAAGUCCCUCUCCUUCCACCAAGGAGCGCCCAGAGGCCGGCGGGAGCUCCAGGUUCACCUCCUCCUCCUCCAGGAAAUCCCACUUCCAACUGGAUGUCUGGAUGAACUACUGAAAGCUGCUGAGUGUCCUGCAGCAGGUGAGCUGUGGCCAGAGCCCAAGGAUGAAGGGGGCUCCCUCACUCUGUUACUGUGAAGAGGAAGCCUGAGGUGUAGCAGGCCCAGGCCCCAGAAGUAUGGAAAAAAAUGAGGUAGGGAGGGAGGGGACCUCAGGAGAAGACUGAGGUCUACAGAAUCCCAGGGUCAAGGGGAUGGUGCAGUGUUCUGGCACUAUCCUUGAUGUUCCAAGAGGGGUGAGAAUCCAUCUCCUGAGUAAAAACUUCACAUGGGGUGAGGAGGGGAGAAGAGAACAGAAAGGAAGCAGGGAAGGCCAAGACAGCCACCAGCCUUACAGCAAUUUUAACCAGAAAUGGACACAGACCCUGGACCCCAUCACAGGAGUGCAGGCCUAGGACUGUCUCCAGGUGAUGCAUAGCUCCCUUGUCAGGUUAGUGGGUUCAGGGAUUGUGACGUCUGCAGGGGUGUGGAAGGCUGGGCAAUGGGAGCAGCUUACUGGGCUGGACCAGAAAUACUGAACUUCUUUUCCAUCAGUGAAAUCCACUUCUGGGUCAGAAAAAACUGUGAGUUCUAGAGGGGCAGGGCCUAGGAGGAGGUCAGGUCCUGAGCCUUCCUGGUUUGACCCCCUCCCACCCCCUGUGUUUCUGGGUCUGUCCUCACUUCCACCCAGCGGAUCCUGAGUCUCUUCCUUUGAGUCCCUGUGAGUGUGUUGUGUGCAGUGGGGCCGGGCUGCUUCAUCCACUGCACGUUAAAUGUUUCCAACACUUUCCGGCCAAAGCUUAGAGUUGUCAGACCACCGACUUUGAAUGUUGACCUGGUUCCUUGUGGAACAGAGUAAUAGCUAUUGAAGUUUAAAGUCACUUUCCUGCGUGGAUGGUGAAGAGGCAGGCUGUUCAGGCAUAACUGCCCUCAGGCCUGGAGGGCUGUGGAGGUCACCGUUGGCGGUGGGUGGAUCUGGAACCUCUG
rnacentral:lncRNA from 1 species